AUUGAACGCUGGCGACAGGCCUAACACAUGCAAGUCGAGCGGCAGCGGGAAAGUAGCUUGCUACUUUUGCCGGCGAGCGGCGGACGGGUGAGUAAUGCCUGGGAAAUUGCCCAGUCGAGGGGGAUAACAGUUGGAAACGACUGCUAAUACCGCAUACGCCCUACGGGGGAAAGCAGGGGACCUUCGGGCCUUGCGCGAUUGGAUAUGCCCAGGUGGGAUUAGCUAGUUGGUGAGGUAAUGGCUCACCAAGGCGACGAUCCCUAGCUGGUCUGAGAGGAUGAUCAGCCACACUGGAACUGAGACACGGUCCAGACUCCUACGGGAGGCAGCAGUGGGGAAUAUUGCACAAUGGGGGAAACCCUGAUGCAGCCAUGCCGCGUGUGUGAAGAAGGCCUUCGGGUUGUAAAGCACUUUCAGCGAGGGGGAAAGGUUGGCGCCUAAUACGUGUCAACUGUGACGUUAUUCGCAGAAGAAGCACCGGCUAACUACGUGCCAGCAGCCGCGGUAAAAC
rnacentral:rRNA from 1 species